rnacentral:rRNA from 1 species
GGGAACCUACGGGGGGCAGCAGUGAGGAAUAUUGGUCAAUGGCCGAGAGGCUGAACCAGCCACGUCGCGUGAGGGAAGAAUGUCCUAUGGAUUGUAAACCUCUUUUGUCAGGGAGCAAAGUCACCCACGUGUGGGUGUUGGAGAGUACCUGAAGAAAAAGCAUCGGCUAACUCCGUGCCAGCAGCCGCGGUAAUACGGAGGAUGCGAGCGUUAUCCGGAUUUAUUGGGUUUAAAGGGUGCGUAGGCGGACUGUCAAGUCAGCGGUAAAAUACGGGGGCUCAACCUCCGCCCGCCGUUGAAACUGG